rnacentral:rRNA from 1 species
CCUACGGGUGGCUGCAGUGAGGAAUAUUGGUCAAUGGGCGCGAGCCUGAACCAGCCAAGUAGCGUGAAGGAUGACUGCCCUACGGGUUGUAAACUUCUUUUAUAAAGGACUAAAGUGAGGCACGUGUGCCUUUUUGUAUGUACUUUAUGAAUAAGGAUCGUCUAACUCCGUGCCAGCAGCCGCGGUAAUACGGAGGAUCCUGGCUUUAUCCGGAUUUUUUGGGUUUAAAGGGAGCGUCGAUGGGUUGUUAAGUCAGUUGUGAAAGUUUUCGGCUCAACCGUAAAAUUGCAAUUGAUACUGGCAGCCGUGAGUACAGUUGAGGUAGGCGGAAUGCGUGGUGUAGCGGUGAAAUGCUUAGAUAUCACGAAGAACUCCGAUUGCGAAGGCAGCUUACUAAACUGCCACUGACAUUGAUGCUCGAAAGUGUGGGUAUCAAACAGGAUUAGAUACCCUUGUAGUC